rnacentral:lncRNA from 1 species
CCCCAGCACACUCUUAAAAGCUCCACAAACAGUGUAAUGGAUCUCACAGACACUCAACAAGUGGUCAGAUUCACCAAAACAUAUGGCUGUAUUUCAGCUAGACACUGCAAGCAAAACAUCUAAGAGUUAAAUCAGGAAGUACAAGACAACGUGUAAGGUAGACAAACCAUUGGCUUCCCAACCUGCUGAAGUGAAGAUAAUGAUUAUAAAUGUUGUGUGGAACAAUACUCAGUCUCACAGACAGGUGGCAGCAGAGAGGCAGAGUUCUGAUUUCCAAUGUAGAACAAUACUCAGUCUCACAGACAGGUGUCAGCAGAGAGGCAGAGUUCUGAUUUUCACUGUAGAACAAUACUCAGUCUCACAGACAGGUGUCAGCAGAGAGGCAGAGUUCUGAUUUUCACUGUAGAACAAUACUCAGUCUCACAGACAGGUGGCAGCAGAGAGUUAUACUCCGGAUAUUCACUGUAGAACAAUAUUCAGUUUCACAGACAGGUGGCAGCAGAGAGUUAUACUCCGGAUAUUCACUGUAGAACAAUAUUCAGUCUCACAGACAGGUGGCAGCAGAGAGUUAUACUCCGGAUAUUCACUGUAGAACAAUACUCAGUCCCACAGACAGGUGGCAGCAGAGAGGCAUAGUUCUGACUGAUUCUCACUGUGGAACAGAUUGGGGACUGUAUUGUUGCUGUCCCCAAGUGACAGAACAACAAGGCCGUCGUUCACUUGGCGUGAAGAUAAAUGUUUAUAGCUGUUAUUUGGGCUUUAUUGAUUCUUAGCAUAUGUGUUGUGUUUCUGUCCUUUGUGUGUUUUUGGUCCAUUCUCUAAAUACAGUAUCUUCCUCACAUAGACAUUUUGAGAGACUGAAAUCAUUCCUGUAACCUAGGCUACACAGGCUGCAUUUUACACAGACAGCACAACUCUGUUUUAUUUUUCAGUAAUUCACUAAUAUCUGAUGUGAAAAGAUCCGAUGUGAUUGUUCAAAAGAUCAGAAUUGGGCUGCCUGUGUAAACGCAGCCAUAUAGUUCUAACCUAUGUCAGUGCCUGAAAAAAUGUAUUUAGAUAACUAUACCAGUGACAUCAUAGAUACAGGAACUCAACCUAUAGAUGAAUGUAGGUCAAAGUGUAUUUUACAGCAUCGAGGUCUUUAAGAAUUCAUAUUCCUAAAAUGAACGAUACACUGGAGUGUACAAAACAUUAAGAACACAUUCCUAAUAUUGAGGUUGGAACGAGCAGGUGUUCUUAAUGUUUUGUACACUGCAGUGUAUACCCAGUGACUUUUGAGGAACAUAACUCUUAGAUGCUUCAUGAGCUUAGUUCAACUGUCGUAUCCCAUCAGCAUUCACAAUAUCAGCUUGUUUCACCAAUUGGUUUGUAAACAAUGUAAAUGUAAAUUAACGCUGUAUAGACUUAAAACAUUGCUAAAACUAUAAACUUGAUAUUAUUCCACCAGGUAAGUUGACUGAGAAUACGUUUACUCAUUUACAACAGCGACCUGGGGAAUAGUUACAGGGAUGAAUGAGCCAAUUGUAAGCUGGGGACGACUAGGUGGCCAGGAUAGUGUGAGUGCCAUGGGAUCUUUAGUGACCACAGAGUCAGGACACCUGUUUAACGUCACAUUCGAAAGACAGCACCCUACACAAGGCAAUGUCCCCAAUCACAGCCCUGGGGAAUUGGAAUAAAAAAAAAUAUUGACUAAAGGGUGCCUCCUACUGGCCCUCCAACACUACUUCCAGCAGCAUCUGGUCUCCUAUCCAAGACCAAACCUGCUUAGCUUCAGAAGCUAGCCAGCAGUGGGCUGCAGGGUGGUGUGCUGCUGGCUAUAUCAUGGAUGGCCAGUCCUUGUAUACAAAGCUCUGUCCAUGAGUUUGAGAGGGUGACAUUCCUGUAGCCCCAUCUUCAGCUGUUUUAAAAAAUCAAUGGUGGGGGUGGUAGGCUUGUUAUUUGUUAGAAUUGCAGAUUACCCCUUUAAGCCUUCACGAGAAAUACAAAAUAUCCACACUGUUUAUUAUUAGAAUUGACAUUUUAGAGAAUAUAUAUUAUGAUGUAUUUAUGGAGGAAACCAAUGUAUUGUCUUCUAGUAUUCAACAAAACAACUAUAUAGUAGUGUAAUCAACUUGCUGUAUUCUUCUGCUUUUAGCUAAACACACCAUUAACCUUAUAGUAUUUUAUUAGCAGGCAGUGUACAUUUUUAAGCAUUUGAGUUAAAUUGGAUUGUAAUGUCAGCUAUUCAUAAAUAUAUAAACAGAAAGCAACAGGAAAAUGUAGUAACAAUGUAGUAAUAAUGUAGGAAUAAUGUUGCGAUAAUGUAGGAAUGAUGUUGUGAUAAUGUGUUGUAAUGUAGUAAUAAUACGGCGAUAAUGAUGUGAUAAUGUAGUAAUAAUGCUGUAAUGGUGUAGUGAUGAUGUGGCGAUAAUGCAGUAAUAAUGUGGUGUGAUGUGGUGAUAAUGUGACGAUAAUGUGGUGUAAUGUAGUAAUAAUGUGGCGACAAUGAUGUGAUAAUGUAGUGAUAAUGAUGUAAUAAUGUUGUGAUAAUGUGGUAAUAAUGUGGUAAUAAAGUAAUAAUGUUGGGAUAAUGUUGCAAUAGUGUGGUAAUAAUGCCGUAAUAAUGCUGUAAUAAUGUGGUGUAAUGUUGUAAUAAUGCUGUGAUAAUGUGGUGCAACGGUGUAGUAAUAAUGCAGUAAUAACGUGGUGUAAUGUUGUGAUAAUGUUGUGAUGUGGUGUAAUGUUGUAAUAAUGUCGUAAUAACGUGGUGUAAUGUAGUAAUAAUGUGACGAUAAUGAUGUGAUAAUGUAGCAAUAACGCUGCGAUGGUGUAGUAAUAAUGUAGUAAUAAUGUUGUGAUAAUGCAGUAAUGGUGUGGUAAUAGUGUAGUAAUAAUGUACUUAUAAUGUAGUAGUAAUGUAGUGAUAAUGUGGUGUAAUGUAGUAAUAAUGAAGUGAUAAUGUAGUAGUAAUGUGGUAAUAAUGUACUAAUAAUGAAACAAGGUGAUCUGAGUUAAUUAUGUAAGCCUGUGAGUUAUGUUAUAAGGGCUUGGAUCAGUACUGGAUCCUACAAGCCCAUUUCAGGACACUGAGUUUUACUACUCAACACAGUCUGUGUCAGUCUGUUAGGGAUAUGUUGUAGUCAGUAUCAUAUGAAUCUGUAUCCUGAUGUGUAUAUAUAUAUUAAUACAUCAUAAUCUCUUUAGGAGCGUCCUCCGUGGGCCUCUGCUGCUCCUGUCUGUGUGUGUAGGCAGCGUGUUCAUACAGGUAGACCAGCAGAAUGGCUAGCAGACUCAGCACCAUGUAGGGGAUCAUCAGGUAGUAUCCCACCUGGAACUCUGAGGUCUUGUCCUUCAGGUAUACUAAAUCCCUUCCCACGUCGUUCUGAACCAGGUCUUCAGACAUUUCGGUCAGUUGGACAUUUACUACGUACAAGAUGAGCACCAGGAAGGAGAUGCACGCUGGAGCAAAGAACAAAAGGGAGGUUAAAAAGAGUACUACCACUACUACAACUAGUACUACUACUAGUCUGUUAGCUUAGUCAAAAAGAGUUAAAACAUGUUCCAUCAUAUUAGUACUACUACUACUAUUAAUACUACUACUAUUAGUACUACUACUAGUUCUACUACUAUUAAUACUACUACUACUAGCCUGUUCACUUAGUCACAAAGAGUUAAAACAUGUUCCAACAUGUCUAUCAAUCUAUUUAACGCAUUACUGAAAUCCAUGUAGUUGUUUUUUUAUCAUAUAAUGAACUAAUUAAUUUCAUAUAAGUGUGUAAUAUGUUUUUUUCAUACAGUACACAGAGAGAGGGGGAUGCAGGUCAGGAGGAGAGAAAGUGUGAAAAUGAGGUCAUAGGGCUUGAACCCACAACCUUCAGGUGUUUCAUAUGGGACUAAAUAGGGCUUGAACCCAUAACCUUCAGGUAUUUCAUAUGGGACUAAAUAGGACUUGAACACACAACCUUCAGGUAUUUCAUAUGGGACUAAAUAGGGCUUGAACACACAACCUUCAGGUAUUUCAUAUGGGACUAAAUAGGACUUGAACACACAACCUUCAGGUAUUUCAUAUGGGACUAAAUAGGUCUUGAACACAACCUUCAGGUAUUUCAUAUGGGACUGAAUAUGGAUUGAACCCAUAACCUUCAGGUAUUUCAUAUGGGACUAAAUAGGGCUUGAACACAACCUUCAGGUAUUUCAUAUGGGACUGAAUAUGGAUUGAACCCAUAACCUUCAGGUAUUUCAUAUGGGACUAAAUAGGGCUUAAACCCAUAACCUUCAGGUAUUUCAUAUGGGACUAAAUAGGACUUGAACACAACCUUCAGGUAUUUCAUAUGGGACUGAAUAUGGAUUGAACCCAUAACCUUCAGGUAUUUCAUAUGGGACUAAAUAGGGCUUGAACACAACCUUCAGGUAUUUCAUAUGGGACUGAAUAUGGAUUGAACCCACAACCUUCAGGUAUUUCAUAUGGGACUAAAUAGGGAUUGAACACACAACCUUCAGGUAUUUCAUAUGGGACUAAAUAGGGCUUGAACACACAACCUUCAGCUAUCUAAUAGUGUGCCGCUGAUGGUCUGGUCUCUUUUUUUGCUUGAUUGAUUGAAUUGAAUUGAUGUGAACUCUAUUGAUCUUACCACUGCCAGAGCUGCAUGUGUAGAGCCCUAUGGGUCCCAUGUAUGUCUGGUAGGGGUUACUGACGCUGUUGUACAGAGUGAUGAGGAUGCUGCCAGCAGAGCAGAGCAGACACAGGGCCAGGAGGGUGAUCACUAUGCCAUGGAGGAUCUGAGGAGCUCCACCUCUCUCUGCCAACUUCUCAAACACUACACAGACAGACCAAGAACAGUCAGAUUAGGAAUAUACACUAGUAUUAUGAGGAGUUCCACCAAGGGCGGAAUUGUGGUAUAGAUAUCUUAGCACAUCUUGUUUUUAAAUAGUUUUCUAUCUAGAACCUAAAAGGGUUAUUCGGCUGUCCCAUAGGAGAACCCUUUGAAGAAUCAUUUUUGGUUCCAGUGUCACGUCCUGACCAUAGAGAGCUCGUAUUUUUCUAUGGUAGAGUAGGUCAGGGCGUGAAAGGGUGGUUUUGUCUAGUUAAAAUUUUCUAUGUUGUUUUGGUUCUAGUUUCUUUUUUCUAUGUUGGGAUUUUUGUAUGAUCCCCAAUUAGAGGCAGCUGGUCAUCGUUGUCUCUAAUUGGGGAUCAUAUUUAAGUAGUUGUUUUUCCCACCUGUGUUUGUGGGAGAAUAUUUUGAGUUAGUGCAUGUUGCACCUCUUUCGUCACGGUUUGUGUUUUGUUUAUAGUUUAUUGUUUGUUUUGCAUAGUUUCACAUUCAAAUAAAAGAUGUGGAACGAUACCCACGCUGCGUCUUGGUCUCCUUCCUACGAUGAACAUGACAUCCAGUUAGAACCCUUUUGGGUUCUAUGAACAACCCUUUCCACAGAGAGUUCUAUAUGGAACCAAAAAGGGUUCUACCGGGAACCAAAAAGGGUUACCCUAUCGGCACAGCUGAAUAACCCUUGUAACGUAUACGCUGGGAGUCGGGAAGCAAGUUUGGGGGAGUGAAUUUAAUAAAUAAAGGAACAUGGAACAAAACAAGAAACACGAGUAGCGUACAGACAUGAAACAGAAACAACAACGCUUGGGGAAAGAACCAAAGAGACUGACAUAUAUAGGGAAGGUAAUCAGGUAGAAGGAACCAAAGGGAGUGACAUAUAUAGGGAAGGUAAUCAGGUAGAAGGAACCAAAGGGAGUGACAUAUAUAGGGAAGGUAAUCAGGUAGAAGGAACCAAAGGGAGUGACAUAUUUAGGGAAGGUAAUCAGGUAGAAGGAACCAAGGGGAGUGACAUAUUUAGGGAAUGUAAUCAGGUAGAAGGAACCAAAGGGAGUGACAUAUUUAGGGAAGGUAAUCAGGUAGAAGGAACCAAAGGGAGUGACAUAUUUAGGGAAGGUAAUCAGGUAGAAGGAACCAAAGGGAGUGACAUAUUUAGGGAAGGUAAUCAGGCAGGUGAUUGAGUCCAGGUGAGUCUGAUGAGGUGCUGAUGCGCGUAACGAUGGUGACAGGUGUGCGUAAUAAUGAGCAGCCUGACAACCUCGAGCGCAGGAGAGGGAGUAUACGUGACAACCAUUUUUGGGAAAAGAUCAUUGUAAAUGGGGGUCCGGGGGGUCCUCCCCCGUAAUUGGAGGGGUAUUUUGAAAACACAGUAUAAGUGGAAGGCUUGUAUCUCAAACAGACCGUUUCAAAAAUACUUGAUGUCACAUCCUGCUGAGGAGGAUGAGCUGGCCAAUCAGAGGUCUA